CGCAAAAGCAAAGCGAAUGUGCCUGGAGCACUCAGGCAAGCGGCAGAAGUAACAGGGCCACCUGCCCUGUGAUAUGGCUCCGUCUGGCCCGGCCCAGCUCUGCCCAGCUUGGCCCAGCUGCAUUAAAGAUUCCCUAGAGCGUCUGGGUCCUAAGCUGCCGUCAUCCUGGUGACUCCCGAGCAGUUCUGGCACAACACCGAUGGCUUUCCCUGUCUCAGACAAUGAAGGAGUUGGAAAUCCCACCCAGAACAGUGGGAGGAUGGCUCACAAGGGGAACGUGAGGGAUAACACGCAUCUCUUCUCCUGGUCAGCAUCAAACUCCCUCUCUGGAUAGCGCCUGCCCAUUUGGAGUUGCUCCUGUCUGCUGAACCCCAAGAUCAACCCCCCCCCCCCAGAGUACAGAAGUGGUUGUGUGGCUACAUUCCCCAGUUCAGAAAGGAAAACAGGGACUCCCACAUUCCCGGGCAGUUGAGCCACCCUCAGCUUGGACCAGCUUAGCUAGUGAUUUUGGUAUUCAUUAACUAUUCACCACCAGAAACAAAGACAGUGAUGGGCCACAAAGAACCUUCCAAAAGCCAGGUGUUGUCACUGGUGCUGGCUGUAGGCUGGGACUUCCACUGUCACGGCUGGGUUCAGUUUGGGAUCAGGUAAUAUGGUUUGGGGAUGAAGGCGUGGCUCAGUGGCUGGAGGGCUUGCUGAGCAUGGUUGAGGCCUGAGGUUUGAUCCUGCCCUCAAAAACCAGACUCUGUGGCACAAGCCUAUUAUCUUGGCCUCUGGAUGUGGAAAAGUAUCAGGAGGCCAAGGUCAUAUCUAUCUAUCUAUCUAUCUAUCUAUCUAUCUAUCUAUCUAUCUAUCUAUCUAUCUAUCUGUCUAUCUAUGGAGUUUGAAGUCUGGUAGCCUUCCCAAGACCCUGGCUCAAGAAAGCAAAAGCAAAAGCUAAGUGUGGUGGUAUGGUUGUAAUCCCAUCACUUGGUAGGCUGAGGCAGGGAGCUCAUUCUGAGUUCUAGACCAACCUGAUCCAAGUACAAAGCCUUAGGCCAGUCAGGAUGCCCUAGCAAGACAUUGCCUCAAAAACCAAACUGAUGGCAGAAGCGAUGUCUCAGUGCCCAAAGGUGCUGCCCCGAAGCCUGAAAACCUGAUUGCAUACCCAGGUCUCACGUGGUGGGAGGAGAGAAUCAAUCCUGUGAAGUUGUUCUCUUCCCUCCUCCUCUCCAUCGUGCAUGCACCUGUACACAUGCACACUAAAUAAAUAAACGCACAGUAAUAAUUUUUAAGAAACUUUUGGGCCAUCGAGAUGGCUCAGAGGGUAAAAGAUCUUGCUGCCAAACCCACCACAACCCUCAUGGUAGAAGAAGAGAACUGACUCCCAUAAGUUAAAUAAUUGGAUGUUUUCUUUUUCCUUUUCUCUCUUGUGCUAUUUUUGUCUUAAAAGCUUUUUAAAAAAGUUUUACACAGGCACAAGUGGCACACGCCUUUAAUGCCAGCAGUUGGGAGGCAGAGGCAGGCAG
rnacentral:lncRNA from 1 species